GCGCCCUUGGUGUAACGGUAACAUAUCCUCGCUUUCAUUUGGACUGAGAGGUCCCGGGUUCGACUCCCGGAGGGCGCC